GUGAGGAAUAUUGCGCAAUGGAGGCAACUCUGACGCAGCCAUGCCGCGUGCAGGAAGAAGGCGCUACGCGUUGUAAACUGCUUUUAACCGGGAAGAAACCCCAGGACGUGUCCUGGGUUGACGGUACCGGAGGAAUAAGCACCGGCUAACUUCGUGCCAGCAGCCGCGGUAAUACGAAGGGUGCAAGCGUUAUCCGGAUUCAUGGGGUUUAAAGGGUGCGUAGGCGGAGCGUUAAGUCAGUGGUGAAAUCCUGCAGCUUAACUGUAGACUUGCCAGUGAUACUGGCGCUCUUGAGUGCGCUUGAAGUGGGCGGAAUGUGCCGUGUAGCGGUGAAAUGCUUAGAUAUGGCACAGAACACCAAUUGCGAAGGCAGCUCACUAAGGCGAUACUGACGCUGAGGCACGAAAGCGUGGGGAUCGAACAGGAUUAGAAACCCCGGUAGUCC
rnacentral:rRNA from 1 species